rnacentral:rRNA from 1 species
CGAAAGCCAGGGGAGCGAACGGGAUUAGAUACCCCGGUAGUCCUGGCUAUAAACGAUGUCCACUAGAUCGGCGCCUCUUUGACGGGGUGCCGGCCGAAACAAAAGCGUUAAGUGGACCGCCUGGGGAGUACGGUCGCAAGGCUAAAACUCAAAGGAAUUGACGGGGCCUCACACAAGCGGUGGAGCAUGUUGCUUAAUUCGAUGCAACGCGAAGAACCUUAUCCUGGGCUUGACAUGUACGGAUGCCUCCCUGGAAACAGGGUUGGUUGCCCUUCGGGGUGAAACGUGCACAGGUGCUGCAUGGCUGUCGUCAGUUCGUGUCGUGAGAUGUUGGGUUAAGUCCCGUAACGAACGAAACACCUGUCGUUAGUUGCCAGCGAGUAAUGUCGGGGACUCUAACGAGACUGCCGGUGUCAAACCGGAGGAAGGUGGGGAUGACGUCAAGUCCUCAUGGCCUUUAUGCCCAGGGCUGCAAACGUGCUACAAUGGCGGGGACAAACCGACGCAAGACCGCGAGGUGGAGCAAAUCGGAGAAACCCCUCCCCAGUUCGGAUUGCAGUCUGCAACUCGACUGCAUGAAGUUGGAAUCGCUGGUAA